UAGCCGAAAUAGGGCAGUAUUCCAAACUUCUUAGAGCGACACGACCCAUCAAACGAACACUUCGUUAUUGAACGCAAUCAACGAAAGCACUGAUGCGUGCUGCUAAUUCCACUUUCUCUCCAAACUACCGUACCUGUUCGUCAACGCGUAACAACGAUUCUUUUCGCCUCGAUUCGAGUACCAAGUCUGUUGUUUAAUCGUCUUUUCUGACAUAAUGAUAUUGUCGAAGUUGGACUAGCAACAAUGACAAUAUCGUAUGCUCGUACAUGCGUCUGUUUAUCUAUUUGCCUGUAGUACGAAACUGAAGCAACAUGGAAGGCGGUAAAAGCGAACAACAGUACUAGCAGAAGUGCAGAGAGCAGAAGACUAAUGUCAAUGGCGUGAUUCAGUUAUUAAUUAUUCCUAUGUUAUACGAUGCUUUUGCUUCCGAUGCAGUCGUGCGCCGCAAAACUGCUUGGUCCUACCGGCGUUGCUUACUAGGCCUCACCCCCGUUUCGUGGUCGCCCGACUUCAGUUCGUCAACGGCCGUUUCGGUUUGCCCUGCCGAUCGGCCCUCGAAAACGACAGCGGCAGCGGCAACGGCAACGGCAGCGGCAGCGACGACAGUAAUAGUUACAAAAGAGGCAACGGAAAGCAGAGUCUAUAAGGGCAUACGAGGCCUAGACGAUCAUGUUCUACGACAGGAAAUAAGAUCCAACCUCCAAGGUAUACACCGAUCGGCUCUACGUACUGCAUGUGGCAGCUAAACUACUAAUAGUGAACGUCUGUACUUGUUUCGAGGGCAAACGCCUACGACCAUGAAUAGAUAAAGUAUUUGUGAGAAUUUUUCGGCUACAUUACUGAUUGACUUCCACACAAAAGGGCGAAAUAUUCCCAGUGAAAAAUAUUGUUGGUAAUGCGCAACAAUGGGCAUAAAAAGGUAGACUGAGCAGAGCUCUAUCAGUAUCGCUCA